rnacentral:rRNA from 1 species
UGGGGAAUUUUGGACAAUGGGGGCAACCCUGAUCCAGCCAUGCCGCGUGUAUGAAGAAGGCCUUCGGGUUGUAAAGUACUUUUGUUGGGGAAGAAAAGCCUGGCGUUAAUAGCGUUGGGUCAUGACGGUACCCAAAGAAUAAGCACCGGCUAACUACGUGCCAGCAGCCGCGGUAAUACGUAGGGUGCAAGCGUUAAUCGGAAUUACUGGGCGUAAAGCGAGCGCAGACGGUUAUUUAAGUCAGGUGUGAAAUCCCCGAGCUCAACUUGGGAAUGGCGCUUGAAACUGGGUAACUAGAGUGUGUCAGAGGGGGGUAGAAUUCCACGUGUAGCAGUGAAAUGCGUAGAGAUGUGGAGGAAUACCGAUGGCGAAGGCAGCCCCCUGGGAUAACACUGACGUUCAUGCUCGAAAGCGUGGGUAGCAAACA